rnacentral:misc_RNA from 1 species
GUGAAGAUUCAAGGGCCAGCCAUACAGACGUACAAUAAGUGUGUCUCUGGCGGCUCGCAUCCACUAUACAUCCAUAAACCCGUGUGCACUGUUCUAAGGAGUAAGAAAGAAGAAGAAGGGGGAGGGAGAGAGAGUGCAUGUGCUUUGCAUAUAACUCUCUCACUCUCCACUCUCUUUCUCUCUCUCUCUCCGGUUAAUUACAAACUCGUAUGGAUUUGUAUGAACGUGA